CACUCCGGUGGCCUAGUGAUUAGAGUGUCCGCCCCGGAUGCGGGAGGUCAUGGGUUCAAACCCUAGCUGAGUCA